rnacentral:lncRNA from 1 species
AUGCUGCCAGCUCGCUGCGGGAGCCUCCCUUCUCCGAGCUUAGGAGGGAAGGGCGAGCAAGUGCGCGCGCACACCCAGACCCAGACACACACACACACACACACACACACACACACACACAUCUCCUUCCUUCGGAGUUGUGUCUCGUCUCCCUUUUGUUUUUCUCCAUUCCCGGUCAUGAGACCCGGAAGUUUUUUUUUUUUUUUUUUUUUUAAUCCAGUCUCUCUCCCUUUUCCAACCCCACCCCCCCAAUCUAUCACAUGGCAGAGACAGAAUAAAAACAGAAAAAUGGCGACGGUCACGUUGUGGCGAGCACGUUGUAUCCUUGCUGCGUCAUUAGAUAAUCCUCAUGCAAAUAGCGGGAAGAACAAAGGAAGGGGGGCCCGGGACCCCCGGGGGCGCAGGGUGCUGGCGUGGGUCCCUCGCCGUCCGGCGGCGACUGUAAAUAGAGCCUGGAUGUUGUUUACAUGAAGGAUCCGGCGGGAGGAGUCUGCGAGGAGGAGGCGGAGGAGGAGGAGGAGGGAGGAGAGAGGAAGACCAGAGUCCCCGCGGCGGCGGUCCGGGGUGAGGGUGAGCCCCGCGCGCGUAGGGCACCGGGGGCUACCGCGAGGCCGGGACGCUGGACCUGGGGUAGGAGGGAGAAUGGGCGCCGGGCUGGGAGAAGGGGGGGGCUGUCAGAGAGGCAUUUUUAGCUUCCUACCUGCCACGCAGAUUCUCCGGGGCGAGAGGGGAGGGGUGUGCGAGGAGGGCGGGGAAUCCUGAUUUCCCUACACGUUCCUUUUCCCAUCCCCAGUCUCUUCCCGCUUCCUCUUGAGGCUCACCUGUUUAUUUCCUUCAGCCAGAGCUUGCAGUUUGUUUGUUUUUUUUUCCGGUAGGCAAGAGAAGCUCUUUCUUUUAUUAGAAACGUUAUUGGGGAAGGGGGUGUCCGCCUGUAAUUUAUGACGGUCCCGGUCGGUUUUCAAGAAGGGGGAGGGGACUUGGCCGGAGACCGCCCGGUAGCUGACCCUCGGGCUUCUCCCUGCCUUCCUGGUCGGCCGAGGAAGCUUUUUCCUCGCACAACUACCCGCAGGCCAGCUGCCGCCUUCUUGGAGAAGGACCACAUCUAUUCCUAUUCCUCCCUUUGGAGGAGAGGUGAGCUGAGAAAGCGGGGAAUCCUCUGUUCCCCAAAGCUCCUAGCCAAGCUUCCCAUCCCAGCAUUGGCCAGAAAGUGCUGCUUUCACCUGCUGAUGGCACUGGGUACAUCCAACCCCGUGCCCCGGCAAGUUGUGGUCCAUAGAUGUGUUGGCAUUUUUUCUCGCCUCUGGACCUACAUGCCAGCAACCAGCAGCUAAUUGCUACGUUUAGAUUGAGAGCGAUGUGACCCCCCUUCAGCUUAGCGUUCGUUCUUUAUUCCCCACCGGGUCUUCCAGUGGAGUCAUCUCUUCUCCCCCCACAGCCCCUUUCAUUCUUCCCCUGAGAGUUUAGCCUAGAAUCUGGCCUAAGCAGCCAGUCUCUGGCUGUUAUUCCGUGGGCUCCACCCUGGCCCCUCUUGGUUCUCCAGAGCCAAACACGCCUCCCAAGCUGAAGGCACACCCUGCCCUAAAUCUAACCAGUCCAAAAGGGAGGAGAAGACAGUGGAAGAGAAGGGACCCAGGGGUCUCUUUUUUGUCCUGAGUAUGCCCAACAGCAUUUUCCCUUCAAGCUUCCUGAGUUUAUAAUCCCUUUAUUCUUAUCAGCUGCCCCCCGCCUUGCCCUUAGUCCUAUGAUAGAUGUUUAUGGAAGUGAGGAUGGGGGGGUUGUCAUCCCUUUUCCCUAAUGUGAGGCAUUUUCCUUCUCCGUAGUCUUUUCAUUUUGGAGUUGCUUAACAAGCAAAACAUGUAGAUAUGUGUGCACGCUUAUUUGAACUUGCUUUCUUGCCAGCUAAUGAAGAGCUGGGACUCAAAAGGGAGGGGAGGGGAUAGCGAUGAGAAGAGCACGUUCCCCCUAGUGUCCCCCAUGGCAUUUCCAGAGCUGCUGGAGAAGACCCUUCUGGGAAAGCCAGCAGUCUCCCUUCCAUAAUAUCACCACCUCAGCCCUUCCGACUUGAGCUUCAGAACAGGAAGACCGCUCAAAAUAGUACUAUCUUCAGAAUCCAGCUCCAUUUAGAAGAUAAUUCUUAAGUCAGCUGCAGGAGGAGCCCUGCACUUUAACAUGGGGAGAGAAAACUGUAGUUUGUGUAAUUGGUUCCUUUGGGGCAGGGGAGAGGGGUACUUUCCACGUAGAUUCAGAAAAGCUUUUCUCAAUAUCAGUUGGGUACCUAGAUCAAUGAAUGAUUCAUAGGAUGGUGUGAGAUUCGUGUAUUGAAUUCUUCGUAUGUUUUGGUAUGUCAACAAUAACAGGCACUUUUCAGAAUGAAUUAAAGAGGGGCUGCAAGAAUGUGCUCUGGAGAGUCUGCUAGAGGUAGAGGAGGGCGUGGGAGGGAGCACUUGCAGGCGAGGAAUCUGAGGAUGCAGUGACAGCUGCUGUGAGUGUGGAAGUUGAGAGGCUUACUAUAAACAACGCCUGCCACUUUUGCAGAGUGACUAAUAUCCUGGCCAAAACGUAGCAAUGUCAGGAUCCUCCACCUUUACCUCGAAAACGAACCCCAUGUCUGAAUCAGGAUGUCUCCAUUUUUUCCCCCGGAUUCUCUCAGCUGAAAGAGUUCAGCCUUCAGGAAGGGCUGCUUCAUAAAUGAUCAUCACUAAAGUAUUAACAAACUUUAAGGAUUAGAAGUAGGGCAGAAAACACCUGGCAUAAUUUGAGUACUUGGUGGGGGCUGUAGAAUGACGUGCUGCAUGAAGGAUGAUGGCAUCAAAGACUGCAGGUGAUAGGACUGUCUCUACCUGCAUUAAAACGGCAGCCACUAGUCACAGGUGGCUGACAGGCACCUGAAGUCUGGCGAGGAUGAUGAAGAAGUGAAUUUUUUUUUUUUUUUUGCUAUUUCUUGGGCCACUCCUGCGGCAUAUGGAGGUUCCCAGGCUAGGGGUUGAAUCGGAGCUGGAGCCACCGGCCUAUGCCAGAGCCACAGCAACGCAGGAUCCGAGCCCCGUCUGCAACCUACACCACAGCUCACGGCAGCGCCGGAUCCUUAACCCACUGAGCAAGGGCAGGGACCGAACCCGCAACCUUAUGGUUCCUAGUCGGAUUCGUUAACCACUGCGCCACAACGGGAACUCCUUAUUUUUUUUUUUAACUUUAAUUUUAAAAACUGGUGAUGCAUUCGAUUAUUGGAAAACUUCAUUUGGUUAGGAAACAACUCGAGCAUAUGCAUCUCCUUUGUAAGCUGUAAAUUUUGUGAAAUCUAAAUACAGAUUGAAUAUUUCUGAUGAAAAUGUAGUGUUUGAAUUGAGAUGUUAUCACCGUAAGAUACACUCAGGAUUUCAAAGAUUUAGUACAAACAAACCUCAGUAAUAAUUUUGGUUUUGAUAACACGUUCUACUGAAAAUAUUUUGGGUAUGGUGCAAGAAAUGAAAUACAUUGUUAUGCCACCUGAACCUAUUUAUUUUUUAGCUUUUAAACAGUGUGACUGCUGGAGUAUCUACAGUUACGUACGUGGCUUGCUUUUUACUGCCGGGACAGCGCUGAUCUAUAUCUUUGUUCCUUUUUUCUCCCUGGAUUAAUUUCAAAAGAGGUGACUGCCUGAAACAGUUACUUCAUGUCUGUCAGCCCUUUACUUUCACCUGCUCUUUUCCAUGUGGACGUUCGGGGGCCCACAGAGUGACAAUUGUAGUACAUGAGACUAAUGGUGACUUCUUCCCAGAUUUCUCUGCCGGAGGCGUGCCCCGCUCGGGAAGGUCCAUAGAGAAGUCCAGGGUCCUGGAAGGGCUCCUAGGGGUGUCCUGGGAAAAUAUAGGGCAAGAGUGUGUCUGGCAAGAGCUGCUGUUGUAUAAGGCUCCUGGGCAUGCCAGAAUAUAUCAGAGAACAGUGUGUGGCAUGGUAAUACUCGUGACACCUGCUGGCAUUUUAGCGGUACCACUCACUUUUAUUUUCCCUUUCUCUGCAUUCGCUUUCUGCUCCACCUCCUAGUUCCUCUGGUGGUGAUUGGGCCCACAGGGUUACUGACCCCUCUCCUCCAAAAAAUUAUCCUGCUGACCUGAACGGAGAUGUCUUUGGGGUUUGGUUUGAUCUAAUUAGAUUCAGUGAUGGCACUGGCAGGAACUUGGGGGGCAUUUAGUACUGUCGGCUCAUUUUUAUAGAGGACAAACUGUUGAUUGCUUUGCCUGUAGACUCACAGACAGAGGCAUUACCUGUAUUUUUUGUGGAUGACCUAUUUAGAGACUCCCUGGGAAAUCAAGAAGUUGAUCAGUGAUCAGUCACGUAUUUGUAGAGCUUGCAUUUUGUGGAAAGGCCUGGGAUUAAUGCUGUGAAGGGACAGGAAGAAAACAGUCUCUGAUGUCAGGACCGCGCCUGUUGAUGUGAGGAAAUAAGAUGUGAACGGUGCCAAAUUCAGUCACAGUUUAAGAUACCACCCUUCAUACCGAGCGCAGGACCUCUGUGUUACAAGGAGAAAGAAAAGUGCUUUUUUCCACGUGUUGGAAGUAGAACUGUGUUCCUUUUCCAGAUGUAGGAAUAGAAGCUCUGAGAAUGGUGGACUCUGCAGAAAAGAGGAGUGUGAUUGUGUUUCUGGAACAGCCCAGGGCUCUAGAGGUGGAGGUCAGUGCUAGUCUUUGGUGCUGCCCCCUCUUAGCUGUCCAGGAAGAGGGAAUUUGAGAACCCAGACCCCGCAUUUUGAAAUGGCAGUGUUGCCGGUAAUGAGGAAAUCCUAGAUUAAUUGGAGACGGCCAGGAGAUGGUUAGCUAGGGGUAGAUCAUUUUUGAAGUCAGCUGAUGUAUUUUCGACUAGUUAUUCUAAAGGGUACAGUAGCAGAGGUGAAAACAGAAUAACAUUGACUUGUAAGCAGACUCUGAAAAUCGGGGGGGAAAAGUUAAAUCUCGCGCAACAUCUGAAAGUAUAGACGGGUGGACUAAAACUAUGAAUGCUGAGUCCGUGGGUAAAGGGGAAGGCCCAUGUAAGAGAAGAUCUAUUUAAAUUUAAUAUCUGUGAAAUAUGAAGUGUGGGGGGGUCCAUUUCCUUGUAAGUUUUUAGUCUCUUGAAGCCUUUUUGGACUAAAAUCCCCAACAACCGAGGACUAAGACAUGUCUUUGCUUGUACACAUAGCUUCUGCGUUAGUUUUUCUCUUCUGUGCGGACCUACCAAGGUUACGCAGUGUGACUGUUGCGAUGUGAGUGCUUGGAGUGGGUAAAACAAGGUCACCGCCUUGCAGUUCCUCCCAGUUAGUGCUUCUCUCUGAGAAUUGGGGCUGACUUGGCACAAAGCAGUUGUCCUUGGCUUUUCCUUGCCCUUUUGGCCAAUUUAUUUCUCCUAAAGAAAGAAAAAAAUGAGUAACCUCUUUACUCCAGGUUUCCCACUAACCUUGGCACGAGUUAGUUUCUGAACCCUUUUUUUUCUUUAAUUUUAAUUUUUUUAUUUAUUUUUAUUUUUUGGAGUUCCUCUUGUGGCUCGGUGGGUUAAGAAUCCAACUAGUAUCCGUGAGGAAGCAGAUUCAAUCCCCAGCCUCAUUCACUGGCUUAAGACCUGGUGUUGCUGCAAGCUGCGGUGUAAGAUGUGGCUCAGCUCUGGCAUUGCUGUGGCGUAGGCCAGUAGCUGCAACUCCCAUCCCUAGCCUGGGAACUUGAAAAAAAAAAGGGUUUUUUUCAUUUUUUUAAAAAUUUUUUAUGGUUGCACCAUAAAAAAGUUCCUAGACCGGGGACUGAAUCCAAGCAGCAGCUGCGACCUGUACCUCAUUUGCAGCAAUGCAGCAUCCUUUUAACCCACUGCACCGGGCCAGGGAUGGAACUCAUGCCUAUGAAGCAACCUGAGCUGCUACAGUGGUAUUCUUUUUUUUUUUGUCUUUUGUCUUUUGAGGACUGCACCCACCGCAUAUGGAGGUUCCCAUGCUAGGGGUCUAAUCAGAGCUGUUGCUGCCAGCCUACGCCACAGCCACAGCAACACCAGAUUCGAGCUGCGUCUGUGACCUACACCACAGCUCACGGCAAUGCCGGAUCCUUUAACUAUAGUGGGAUUCUUAACCCACUGUGCCACAGUGGGAAUUCCAGUUGUUAAAUACUCUUUUUUUCUUUCUCUAGGGCCACACCUGUGGCAUAUGGAUGUUCCGAGGCUAGGGAUCAAAUUGGAGCUGUCGAAUAGCCGCUGACCUACCCCACAGCCACAGCAACGCCAGAUCCUUAACCACCGAGCGAGGCCAGGGAUUGAACUCUCAUUCUCACGGAUAUUGGCGGGUUUGUAACUUGCUGGGUCACAGUGGGUACUUCAGUUUUUAAAUACGUUUAACAGCAAAACUUUGCAGUAAAAUGCAAGUAUACCUUCUCUGUACUUCCAACAAAGUAGUAGUUGACAUUUGCCAUCUUCUGUUGACAGUACAUUUUUAUAACAUGACAAUUUGGUCAAAUUUGCGCAUUUUACAAUGUCACUGAAUUGGACUAUGGUUUUCAGGUUGGGAAAGAAAAAAAAAAUCACACUUUAGUAAAAGACCAGUGGAUUAAUUAAACAACCUACUUAUGGAGUUCUCGUGGCAUGGUAGGUUAAGGAUUUGGUGGUGUCACUGCAGCAGCGUGAUCGACCCCGUGCCUGGGAACUUUCACCUGCCACAGGUGAAGCCAAAAAAAAAAAAAAAAAAAAAAAAAA